UACAGAGGUCUCAAGCGUUGUUCGGAUUCAUUGGGCGUAAAGGGUGCGUAGGUGGCAUGGUAAGUCGGAUGUGAAAUCCCGGGGCUCAACCCCGGAACUGCAUUCGAUACUGCUGAGCUAGAGUACUGGAGAGGAGAUUGGAAUUUACGGUGUAGCAGUGAAAAUGCGUAGAUAUCGUAAGGAAGACCAGUGGCGAAGGCGGAUCUCUGGACAGUUACUGACACUGAGGCACGAAGGCCAGGGGAGCAAACGGG
rnacentral:rRNA from 1 species